rnacentral:rRNA from 1 species
UACGUAGGGGGCAAGCGUUGUCCGGAUUUAUUGGGCGUAAAGCGCGUGUAGGCGGCCAUGCAGGUCCGCUGUGAAAACUCGAGGCUCAACCUCGAGAGGUCGGUGGAAACCGCAUGGCUAGAGUCCGGAAGAGGGGACUGGAAUUCCCGGUGUAGCGGUGGAAUGCGCAGAUAUCGGGAGGAACACCCGUGGCGAAGGCGGGUCCCUGGGACGGUACUGACGCUGAGACGCGAAAGCGUGGGGAGCGAACAGGAUUAGAUACCCUGGUAGU